CAGCCGCCGCGGUAAUACGAAGGGUGCGAGCGUUAAUCGGAAUUACUGGGCGUAAAGCGUGCGUAGGCGGUUUGUUAAGUCUGUUGUGAAAUCCCCGGGCUCAACCUGGGAAUGGCAAUGGAUACUGGCAAGCUAGAGUGUGUCAGAGGAUGGUGGAAUUCCCGGUGUAGCGGUGAAAUGCGUAGAGAUCGGGAGGAACAUCAGUGGCGAAGGCGGCCAUCUGGGACAACACUGACGCUGAGGCACGAAAGCGUGGGGAGCAAACAGGAUUAGAUACCCCUGUAGUCCCUGUCUCUUAUAC
rnacentral:rRNA from 1 species